AAAUUUUUAUAACGAGCACUUAAUAAAAACCUUGGUGGAAAAUUUUGGACGUGACGCUACGAAAAGUUAUAUGGAGGCAUUAGCUUGUGAUUUAUAAAUUUCCGUAUUUGGAGUAAACUCAUUAAAAUUUUUUAAAAAGUAAUGUGAAUUGAAUCAUCUGAGUAACAUUAUUAAUAAAAUCAAUCGAGAAAUCGUAAGUAAUGGUGAAUGAAAGCGAUACAAAAGCUUAGUGGAAUGUUUUAAUUAAAAUCAACUAAAAAAGGUAAAAGUCCUGUAUUAAUAAAAACUUUCUAUAAUAAAAUUUAUAAGUAAUAUGAACUUUAAUUUGUAUGAAUAAAGGAGAACCACCUUCUAAGCUUAAAAAAUUUUCCAACCUAUAGUGGACGAGUACCGUGAGGGAAAGGUAAAAAAGUUCGAAAAGAAUUCUUUUGAGUUAAGUGUUUUAAAAUUUUCGAAGUAUGUAACAACGAAGUGCCUUUUGCAUAAUGAAUCAGCAAGUUAAUAUAUAUUGCAAGCUUAAUUAGUCAUAUAGAGGCAUAGAUAAAAGUAAUAUAUAUUAGACCUGAAACCAAGUGAUCUAGUUGUGAGUAAGUUAAGAAUUCUUUAAAAAGUUUUUGAAGACUGCACCCAUACAUGUAGCAAAAUGUAGGGAUAACUUAUAAUUAGGAGUGAAAGGCUAAUCAAACUUGGAGAUAGCCGGUUUUUCACGAAAUGUAUUUUAGUACUACGUUAAUUAAUAUAAACCUUGAGUUAGAGUACAAAAUAAAAGAAGGGAUGUAAAAAUUUACUCAAUUUUUUUUAACUCCGAAUUAAAGUUUUAUAUAAUUAGCAGACAGUCUAUAAGCGAUAAGGUUUAUAGACAAGAGGAAAACAAUCCAGAUCGAAUACUAAGAUUUCCAAAUUAAAACUUAGAGAAAAAAUUAAAUAAAGUUCAAAUAAUAAUUUUGAUAGGCUUAGAAGCAGCCUUUCAUUGUAGAAAGCGUUUCAGCUCGUUAUUUUUCUUUUUUUAAUUUAAAAUGUAUAGAAACUUUAAGUUUUAUAUCGAAGUAGCGAAUUAAUAUAAUUUAAUGGUAGUGAAACACUUUGUAAAAUUUUUUUGAUUGUAAAAUCCUUAAAAAUUAACAGAGAUGCUAAUGCUGAUAUGAGUAGCGAAAAUUGCGUUAAAAAAUCGUAAUCACUUAAUGUUUAAGGGUUUCAAUGUAAUUUUAAAUUCAUUGAGUUAGUCGGUCCUUAAGAGGUGAAUAAAAAUUGUACUCGAUAGGAAAUUAAUAACCAUAUUGUACUUUUUAUAUGUGUUAUUGAAACAUGAAAAAAAUAAAGUAAAAAAUUUUACAAUCUAAAAUAAGGCAUAAAAUUAAUUUACAUUGUUUUCGAGAAAAAAUUAUAAAAAUAAUAAACCGUACUUAAACCGACACAGGUAAAUUGAUUGAAAAAAUUAUAAGUGAAUGAAAAAAUUGUAUUGAAGGAAUUCGGCAAAUUGACUCUAUAUGUUCGCUAUAAAGAGGGCCUUUUGAAAAGGUAGCAUAAAAGAAGAAGCAACGACUGGUUAACAAAACCACAGGACUCUGCGAAUUUGUAAAAAGAUGUAUAGAGUCUGACGCCUGCCCAGUACUUAAAAAUAAAAAAUUUAGGUUAGUGCUUAUUUUUUCAAAUCUAAGUAAACGGCGGUUCUAACUAUAAGAAUCCUUAGGUAGCGAAAUUCCUUGGCGGGUAAAUUCCGUCCUGCAUGAAUGGCGUAACGAUUGCUUCACUGUCUCCAAUACAAUUUCAGUGAAAUUACAUUAUCCAUGAAAAUGUGGAUUACUUACAGUAAGACGGAAAGACCCUAGAUCCUUUACUUUGAUUUUAAAUUGUAAAAAAUUGUUUAAAUGUGAAGAAUAAGUGGGAAUAAUUAAUGAUGUUUCUGAAAUACCACCCGUUAGAUUUAAUUUUUUACUAAGUUUAUAAAUAAUAUUAUAAAAGACCGUUUAAAAGAGAAAGUUUACUUGGGACGAGUACCUCCUAAAAGGUAACGGAGGUGUACGAAGGUAAGGAACAAUUAUUCGUAACGAAUAAUGAAGAAUAUAAUGGUAUAAACUUGCUUGACAAUAAGAUUUAUAAAUCGAAUUGAGACGAAAGUCCGUCAUAGUGACCCGAUAUUUAAGUGUGGAAUUGAUAUCGUUCAACAAAUAAAAGGAACUCUAGGGAUAACAGAUUCAUCGUGAUUGAGAGUUCAUAUUGACGUCACGGUUUGAUACCUCGAUGUCGACUCAUCUUAUCCUGAAAUUGAAGUAGAUUUCAAGGGUCUAGUUGUUCGCUAGUGAAAAAGGUACGUGAGUUGGGUUCAGAACGUCGUGAGACAGUUCGGUCCCUAUCUACUGUAAGAAAAGAAAAAUAAAAAGUGUAUUCUUAGUACGAGAGGACCAGAAUACUUUAACCUCUGGUUAAAUGAUUGUUAUGCCAAUAGCAUAGUCAAGUAGCUACGUUAGCUUUUAAUAAAUACUGAAUGAAUCAAGUGUAUUAAGUAUUCUUUUAUAUAUUUUUCGGGAAUAAUCUAAAAGAUUAUUAGAUUGAUCGGUUUAAAAGUGUUAUUUAGUAAUAAAUUUUAGUUUUUAUAGAUCCGAAUUAUUCAAAAAAAUUUUAAUU
rnacentral:rRNA from 1 species